rnacentral:rRNA from 1 species
UGGAGUCAACGUUGAAAUACCACUCUGGUCGUUCUGGAUAUCUAACCUCGGUCCGUGAUCCGGAUCAGGGACAGUGCCUGGUGGGUAGUUUAACUGGGGCGGUUGCCUCCUAAAAGGUAACGGAGGCGCCCAAAGGUUCCCUCAGCCUGGUUGGCAAUCAGGUUUUGAGUGUAAGUGCACAAGGGAGCUUGACUGUGAGACAGGCAUGUCGAGCAGGGACGAAAGUCGGGACUAGUGAUCCGGCGGUGGCUUGUGGAAGCGCCGUCGCUCAACGGAUAAAAGGUACCCCGGGGAUAACAGGCU